AGCAGCCGCGGUAAUUCCAGCUCCAAUAGCGUAUAUUAAAGUUGUUGCAGUUAAAAAGCUCGUAGUUGAAUUUCGAGACCGGCUUACUGGUCGUGCUUUUGUACGUACUGGUAUAAUCGGUUUCUCCUUUCUGACGAACUAUAAUGCCAUUAAUUUGGUGUUAUAGGGAAUCAGGACUGUUACUUUGAAAAAUUAGAGUGUUUAAAGCAGGCUCACGCUUGAAUACAUUAGCAUGGAAUAACGGAAUAGGACGUUUGAUUCUAUUUUGUUGGUUUCUAGGAUCGACGUAAUGAUUAAUAGGGAUAGUUGGGGGCAUUAGUAUUCAAUUGUCAGAGGUGAAAUUCUUGGAUUUAUUGAAGACUAACUACUGCGAAAGCAUUUGCCAAGGAUGUUUUCAUUAAUCAAGUAACGAAAGUUAGGGGAUCGAAGACGAUCAGAUACCGUCGUAGUCUUAACCAUAAACUAUGCCGACUAGGGAU
rnacentral:rRNA from 1 species